UACGUAGGGUGCAAGCGUUGUCCGGAUUUAUUGGGCGUAAAGAGCGUGUAGGCGGUCAGGUAGGUCCGUUGUGAAAACUCGAGGCUCAACCUCGAGACGCCGAUGGAAACCACCUGACUAGAGUCCGGAAGAGGAGAGUGGAAUUCCUGGUGUAGCGGUGAAAUGCGCAGAUAUCAGGAAGAACACCCGUGGCUAAGGCGGCUCUCUAGUACGGUACUGACGCUGAGACGCGAAAGCGUGGGGAGCGAACAGG
rnacentral:rRNA from 1 species